GGAAAAUGGACAACGGCCAAUACAACAUGGAUAGAAGGCUGUGACCAGUGUACAUGUGAGGAGGACACUCUGCAGGUCACCUGUCAUAGUGUGUCCUGUCCAUCACAGCCACCACUCAGCUGUGACCAAGAAGGUCAGGUCAUAGUCACUGACAUUAAUGACUGCUGUCCAAAGGAGAAAUGUGAGUGUGAUGUGAAGCACUGCCCUGCUGUGCUGCCCUGUCC